UGCUGACCGACAUAGAAAUGGCCGAGCCAAUGACCUUUCUGUAUGACAACAUUGUUUAAAAACCUGUAAGAGGUCUGGGCUUAUGGGAUACUAACUGGAUGCUUGGAUCUUGUGUAUAUAGAAGAGCCUGUGAAAUAAUAAUUUUUUAUUUCAAGUCACACUUUACUUUACUUUAAAUUAUAUGUACAUGUAAUGGCAAUAAUUUUUUUCUGAUAGAAUAAAAGUUGAGGUUUUUAUAAUGCAAUAGAUUGUCAAUCUGUUGUAAAAUAUAUUUUAUCUGUUCUGGCAGAUAGUUUAUCUGUUACAGGUUACACGAGCGGCUCGCAUGCGCUUGCACAUAUUGAAUGUUUGCUGACCGACAUAGAAAUGGCCGAGCCAAUGACCUUUCUGUGUGACAACAUUGUUUAAAAACCUGUAAGAGGUCUGGGCUUAUGGGAUACUAACUGGAUGCUUGGAUCUUGUGUAUAUAGAAGAGCCUGUGAAAUAAUAAUUUUUUAUUUCAAGUCACACUUCACUUUACUUUAAAUUACAUGUACAUGUAAUGACAAUAAUUUUUUUCUGAUAGAAUGAAAGUUGAG
rnacentral:lncRNA from 1 species